UACGGAGGGUGCAAGCGUUAUCCGGAUUCACUGGGUUUAAAGGGUGCGUAGGCGGGAUAUUAAGUCAGAGGUGAAAGCCCCGAGCUCAACUUGGGAACUGCCUUUGAUACUGAUAUUCUUGAAUGUAGUUGAGGCAGGCGGAAUACAACAUGUAGCGGUGAAAUGCUUAGAUAUGUUGUAGAACACCAAUUGCGAAGGCAGCUUGCUAAACUAUUAUUGACGCUGAGGCACGAAAGCGUGGGGAGCGAACAGG
rnacentral:rRNA from 1 species